rnacentral:rRNA from 1 species
UGGGGAAUAUUGGACAAUGGGGGCAACCCUGAUCCAGCCAUGCCGCGUGAGUGAUGAAGGCCUUCGGGUUGUAAAGCUCUUUUGGCGGGGACGAUGAUGACGGUACCCGCAGAAUAAGCCCCGGCUAACUUCGUGCCAGCAGCCGCGGUAAGACGAAGGGGGCUAGCGUUGUUCGGAAUUACUGGGCGUAAAGCGAGUGUAGGCGAUUGUCGUAGUCAGGUGUGAAAGCCUUGAGCUCAACUCAAGAAAUGCACUUGAUACUGGAUGACUAGAGGACCGGAGAGGAUAGUGGAAUUCCCAGUGUAGUGGUGAAAUACGUAGAGAUUGGGAAGAACACCAGUGGCGAAGGCGGCUAUCUGGACGGUUACUGACGCUAAGACUCGAAAGCGUGGGGAGCAAACAGGAUUAGAUACCCUGGUAGUCCACGCCGUAAACGAUGGGUGCUAGACGUUGGCGAGCUUGCUCGUCAAUGUCGCAGCUAACGCGUUAAGCACCCCGCCUGGGGAGUACGGCCGCAAGGUUG